rnacentral:misc_RNA from 1 species
GAUGAAGAACGCAGCGAAAUGCGAUACGUAAUGUGAAUUGCAGAAUUCAGUGAAUCAUCGAGUCUUUGAACGCACAUUGCGCCCCCUGGUAUUCCGGGGGGCAUGCCUGUCCGAGCGCCAUUGCUGCCCUCAAGCACGGCUUGUGUGUUGGGCCUCCGUCCUCCUCCCGGGGGACGGGCCCGAAAGGCAGCGGCGGCACCGCGUCCGGUCCUCGAGCGUAUGGGGCUUCGUCACCCGCUCUUGUAGGCCCGGCCGGCGCUUGCCGACACAUCAAUCUUUUUUCCAGGUUGACCUCGGAUCAGGUAGGGAUACCCGCUGAACUUAAGCAUAUCAAUAAGCGGAGGA